rnacentral:lncRNA from 11 species
GAAGUUCUGAGCAUGCUCAGUCUGUCCAAACACCACAUGCUGCUGAAGGAAGGAAUAUAAGAGCAACGAAUGCCAUCACAUUACAGAUUUGACAAACCAUCCAGAUCAUUGAGAGAAAUCCACUUCCACACCAUAUCCUGAAACAUUGGAAAAGAAUGCUGACCCCCACACUUUAAAAAUGCAAAGAAUGCUGUACCCUACACUUGAACUGAAACAAAUGUGAUGAACACAGCAAGAAUGAAUAAUAAAUGCAAUUUUUUGCUCACUCUGAAGAAUAUGAAGGUUUCUGCACAAUUUUGAACAUGAC